rnacentral:tRNA from 1 species
AGGAGUUUAGGUUAAAUCUAGACCAAGAGCCUUCAAAGCCCUAAGUAAAUAUCUUUGUUUAACUCCUG